rnacentral:rRNA from 1 species
UACAAAGGGGGCUAGCGUUGCUCGGAAUCACUGGGCGUAAAGCGCACGUAGGCGGCUUUUUAAGUCAGGGGUGAAAUCCUGGAGCUCAACUCCAGAACUGCCUUUGAUACUGAGAAGCUUGAGUCCGGGAGAGGUGAGUGGAACUGCGAGUGUAGAGGUGAAAUUCGUAGAUAUUCGCAAGAACACCAGUGGCGAAGGCGGCUCACUGGCCCGGUACUGACGCUGAGGUGCGAAAGCGUGGGGAGCAAACGGG